UACGAGAGGCCCAACCGUUAUUCGGAAUUACUGGGCUUAAAGAGUUCGUAGGCGGCAUUGCAAGUAGGGUGUGAAAGCCCUCGGCUCAACCGAGGAAUUGCGCUCUAAACUGCAGUGCUCGAGGAAGCUAGAGGUGAGCAGAACAGAUGGUGGAGCGGUGAAAUGCGUUGAUAUCAUCUGGAAUACCGGAGGCGAAGGCGGCUCACUGGGGCUUUUCUGACGCUGAGGAACGAAAGCCAGGGUAGCGAACGGG
rnacentral:rRNA from 1 species